UUAGAGGUACUGCCUGCCCAGUGACACUGAUUCAACGGCCACGGUAUUUUGACCGUGCAAAGGUAGCAUAAUCACUUGUUUUUUAAAUAAAGACCUGUAUGAAAGGCAACACGAAAGCUUAACUGUCUCCUUUGUCUAGUCCACGAAACUGAUCUCCCUGUAAAAAAGCAGGAAUAAACCCGUAAGACGAGAAGACCCUAUGGAGCUUAAGAUAAAAACAACCCCCUGCCCCAUAACCAGCAGCAACUUGUUUUCACUAUCUUCAGUUGGGGCGACUGCGGAGCACACAAACCCUCCGUGAAUCAUUCGCUGAACAACACAAGCCAACGCACCAAAACAUUUUAAACAACUGAUCCAAUAAAUUGAUCAACGAACCAAGCUACCCUAGGGAUAACAGCGCCAUCUUCUUUCAGAGUCCUUAUCGACAAGAAGGUUUACGACCUCGAUGUUGGAUCAGGGUACCCAGACAAUGCAACCGUUGUCAUAGGUUUGUUUGUUCAACAAUUAAAA
rnacentral:rRNA from 1 species